rnacentral:ncRNA from 1 species
GAACUCGUGCUAGAAUGCGACGAUUACCGCCUUGGCCAUUUUUUAGUUGAAUACGAAUAGAUCUUCGGAUCCUGAAUCAUACUACGUGGGGUUAUCUUGCAGAGCGGAAAGGCUUUGUGAGGUUCCUGCUAAUGUUAAUUUCAAAUAUUGGAAGAGAUAAAUCCAUUGCAGACGACUUUAAUUGAACGGGGUAUUGUAAGCAGUAGAGUAGCCUUGUUGCUACGAUCUGCUGAGAUUAAGCCCAUUGUUCUAUAGAUUUGU